GACGAACGCUGGCGGCGUGCCUAAUACAUGCAAGUAGAACGCUGAAGAGAGGAGCUUGCUCUUCUUGGAUGAGUUGCGAACGGGUGAGUAACGCGUAGGUAACCUGCCUGGUAGCGGGGGAUAACUAUUGGAAACGAUAGCUAAUACCGCAUAAAAUGGAUUAUCGCAUGAUAAUCCAUUGAAAGGUGCAAAUGCAUCACUACCAGAUGGACCUGCGUUGUAUUAGCUAGUUGGUGGGGUAACGGCUCACCAAGGCGACGAUACAUAGCCGACCUGAGAGGGUGAUCGGCCACACUGGGACUGAGACACGGCCCAGACUCCUACGGGAGGCAGCAGUAGGGAAUCUUCGGCAAUGGACGGAAGUCUGACCGAGCAACGCCGCGUGAGUGAAGAAGGUUUUCGGAUCGUAAAGCUCUGUUAUAAGAGAAGAACGAGUGUGAGAGUGGAAAGUUCACACUGUGACGGUAUCUUACCAGAAAGGGACGGCUAACUACGUG
rnacentral:rRNA from 1 species